UACGUAGGGACCAAGCGUUGUUCGGAUUUACUGGGCGUAAAGGGCGCGUAGGCGGCAAUUCAAGUCAUCUGUGAAAUCUCCGGGCUUAACUCGGAACGGUCAGGUGAUACUGCUUUGCUAGAGUGCGGAAGGGGCAAUCGGAAUUCCAGGUGUAGCGGUGAAAUGCGUAGAUAUCUGGAGGAACACCGGUGGCGAAGGCGACAUCCUGGACCAACACUGACGCUGAGGAGCGAAAGCCAGGGGAGCAAACGGG
rnacentral:rRNA from 1 species